rnacentral:lncRNA from 1 species
AUCUGUGCUCUCAGAUGUCCUUGAACAUUAAUCUUCUAAAUGCUUAUUUUCAGUCAUCUAAAGAGAACUGGGAAAUGAUGAAGAAUUAUCUGUCCAUCUCAUGAUAAAAAUUUACAUUCCCACAAUCUACAAUUUAGAUCCACCACUAACAUCAUGCUCUAAUGUAGUUCAUAUCUCUAAAAUGUCAAUACAGUUUCUAUCUUGUUUCUUCAUAAAAGUAGUUUUAAAUGUAAAUUAAGUUAACUUGUUAGUUUCCAAACUGUUCAAGUUUGGACUCAAUUUACUCGGUAGGUACAGUCUUUACGCAAAUGAUGCCUACAACAUCUUUGGAUCACAUCCCCCUAUCUCCAGGAAUAUCACCAAACUACAUUUCCUCCUCUGUGUUGUAUCUGGACUGAGUCUAUCCACCCAGUGACCAUUCCCUAAAGUGUUCAAUCAUCAUUGGAGGAAAAAGACUUGUCAUUCUUCCCUGAUGCCAGUGGAGCUAGACUUAAAGGGGGCUAGGCAGUCUGAAAUUGACGUUCGUCUUCCCUUAUCCUGAGAAGGUAGAGAACAAAGUGUGCCCUUUAUCUUCUUACUGCUGGGGAGCUGUGAAAAUUUCAGCUUAGCUUGGGUUGCAGGAGGGGAUUGCUUCCUGAAGUAUGCUCAGGAGGCCACAAAGCUCCCACUCAUACAGUCAGAUAGUCAACUGUGUGUGAACUAUCCAACUUUAAUUUUCUCUCCUUGCAACUUCUGAGUAAAAGAAGGGGUUAUAUUAGAUACUAGGCAAUCAAUGAGGAAUGACAGGUUGGAAGAGGACAUUUAAAUCUUGUAGAUAUAGUUAUUAUAUUUUAUAUUAUGUAUAUAUGUAUUUUGUCUGCGUGUAUGUAUGCAUAUCACAUGCAUUCCUGGCACCCAUGGAGGUCAGAAGAGGGUCUUUUAAAGAAUAAAUAGAUAUAACUUCAUUGCUCCAAUAGCCUGAGUUUCAUGCUUCCCCUAUGAUGGACAUACUGUGCAUUUAAACUACCCUGGAAUACAUCGCAUUUUCUUGGUAUGUCAUCAGAAUGCCGUCAGAUUACACAAUCUGACAAAUAAAACUUCUGAAAAUUUAUAGCAAGAUGACCCUGGUAACAACAUUCUUAUGAAAGUCUAGUCAUUUGUGUAAUGUUAUAAUGUUUUUCUCCCAUAAGUAAAAUAUCCCUGAAGUCAAGAUUUGAUAUUCUAAUAUCAUGUUUCUUAAAUACAUUAAAUAUGUUACCAAAGGAAUCUAAUAGAAGUAGCUGAAGGUAGGACAUAAACAACAGGUCCUACCCUGCUUUCUUACCCUCUGACCGUCCAGCAUCUGAAACUUCUCAAAUUAUAAGUAAAUGUGCUUUCACAGCAUAGUAACUUCUAGCUGAAUACUUACCUAUAUCUUCCAUUGAUUUUCAUCACUAAAAUCAUGUAAGUGCUGAUUUCUUCUGUGUAUUAUAUGAUGGUUUCAUGAAAUUCCUUCCUUCAAUU